rnacentral:rRNA from 1 species
GACGAACGCUGGCGGCGUGCUUAACACAUGCAAGUCGAACGGAAAGGCCCUGCUUUUGUGGGGUGCUCGAGUGGCGAACGGGUGAGCAACACGUGAGUAACCUGCCCUUGACUUUGGGAUAACUUCAGGAAACUGGGGCUAAUACCGGAUAGGAGCUCCUGCUGCAUGGUGGGGGGUGGAAAGUUUCGGCGGUUGGGGAUGGACUCGCGGCUGAUCAGCUUGUUGGUGGGGUAGUGGCUUACCAAGGCUUUGACGGGUAGCCGGCCUGAGAGGGUGACUGGCAACAUUGGGACUGAGAUACGGCCCAGACUCCUACGGGAGGCAGCAGUGGGGAAUAUUGCCCAAUGGGCGGAAGCCUGAUGCAGCAACGCCGCGUGCGGGAUGACGGCCUUCGGGUUGUAAACCGCUUUCGCCUGUGACGAAGCAUGAGUGACGGUAAUGGGUAAAGAAGCACCGGCUAACUACGUG